rnacentral:rRNA from 1 species
AUUAUUAGCCAUGUCACCCUGCAGCCCAAGACCGGUUACUCACUAAAGCUAAGCAGGGCUGAGCCUGAUCAGUACCUGGAUGGGAGACCACUAGGGAACACUAGGUUGCUGUUGAAA